UGAAUAUCGUUGGAAACAGGUGCGGCAUGAGCGUAAGGCUCGUUCCGCUUAAUAGGGAAGCCGGUGAGAAACCGGCACGGACCCGCCACUGUAAUGAACACCGAUAACGUACGUAUCGGUACGUCCCGGCUAGAUGUAACGCCACUGGAGCUUUGGCCAAAGCUUUGGGAAGGCUGUCGGGAUGCUGUUCUAAGUCAGGAGACCUGCCUGUUUUAGCAACACUGU
rnacentral:ncRNA from 2 species